rnacentral:rRNA from 1 species
GUCUACGGCCAUGCCACCCUGAACAAGCCCGAUGUCUGAUCUCAGACCCUAAGCAGGGUCAGGCCUAGUUAGUACUUGGAUGGGAGACCACCUAGGAAGACCAGGUGCUGUAGGCA